AAAGAAGUAAAUAAGAUAAAAAAAACUGUGUGUGUGUCAGCUCCGACGCACGACUGGAGUUUACUCCUCAAGUACGAGUAUCUAACCAUACGCAAAAAAAGUUUAUUCAACUGAAAAAAGAUUAAUAUCAUAUGAAAGGGUACAUUGAUUAUUUGUCCGGUUAUUGCGAACUGGCCGUUGAAAUGCCGCAAUCUACGUAUCUGCAUAAAAGGAAGCCGUGGUGAUAUAAAUCUUUCAGUGAUGAUGUCUAAUUCUGGUAAGUCCGCUGGUCUUUCUGGAUAUUUGAAAGCAUUAAAGGUUGACAACAACGGAAUCUUGUGUUUUUUAAUACUGACACUACAAGUCUUACACACCUUGACAUCAGCCACGUCGGUAAAUGUCUAAACAGAAAAAUAUCAUAUGAUAAGAAUUAAUAAGGUAUUAAAUAAAUAACAAUUUUAAAAAAAUUAAAUUUUUGACCUACCGUUAUUUGUUUGAGUAGAUUUUCAUCAUCAGGAUGGCAAGGUUUCAGAUCGUUUAAAAACCAUAGGCAAUCACAAAUUUUGCAGACAUGACCAAAAGGAUUUUUCACAAACAUCUUGUGAAAUAGUUUAUGCGCUGAUUGAUGCGCACAUUAGCCAUUAUACGAAUGGCUUGGAUUCUCUUCUGGUAGCACAAUAUCCUCCAAAUUUAAAUCAUCUUCAUCAUCAAUUUGUUCAUCUUCAAUGUCUGACUCUGCAUACACGCUAUAAUCACUGUCAUGAAGAUUUUGCGAUUGCAUUGACGCAUCAACAUCUCUAUUUUCGCUUGGCUGAUUUAAUACUUGUAUUUCACCAUUUGGCAAAUGUGAAGAAAGUGUAGGUUGGCUUGGAAGUUGAAGGAUUUCAUCAAAGUUAACUUUUGAUGGACGUUCAUUCCGUCUUUUACUUGACACCUUGACACUUUCAGGACUUGAUGGUGGCAACUGUACAGCAAUCACGGGUGCGACGGACCUUGAGGGUUUGCUGUCUCUCGGCUGUAGUUUUUGGAGGUGGUUUUGAUUGCGUCAUUAAUGCGUUUUUUUUUUAAUCUGCAAAUUCGUUGUCUCUCGGCUGGAGUUAUUAGAGGUGGUUUUGAUUUUUUCUUAGUAAAAAAUUUUUUUA